UACGUAGGGUGCGAGCGUUGUCCGGAAUUAUUGGGCGUAAAGAGCUUGUAGGCGGUCUGUCGCGUCUGCUGUGAAAAUCCGGGGCUCAACCCCGGACUUGCAGUGGGUACGGGCAGACUAGAGUGUGGUAGGGGAGACUGGAAUUCCCGGUGUAGCGGUGAAAUGCGCAGAUAUCGGGAGGAACACCGGUGGCGAAGGCGGGUCUCUGGGCCGAAACUGACGCUGAGGAGCGAAAGCGUGGGGAGCAAACAGG
rnacentral:rRNA from 1 species